GGGGCAACAGUUCAGUGGUAGAGCCCCCGCUUCGCAUGCGGGAAGAUCUGGGUUCGAUUCCCCGUUGCUUCC
rfam:Toxocara canis scaffold1665, whole genome shotgun sequence.